AUUGAACGCUGGCGGCAGGCUUAACACAUGCAAGUCGAACGAGUGGCGGACGGGUGAGUAAUGCUUGGGAUUUGGCCUAUGGGGGGGGGAAAAGAAGGGGAAACUUUCCCUAUACCCCGUUACAUAAGGUUGGGCCCAAUGGGGAUUAGGUUGUGGGUGGGGUAUUGGCUUACCAAGCCGCCGAUCUCGAGCUGGUCUUAGAGGAUGACCCGCCACACCGGGACUGAGACACGGCCCGGACUCCGACGGGAGGCAGCAGUGGGGAAUAUUGCGCAAUGGGGGCAACCUGACGCAGCCAUGCCGCGUGAAUGAAGAAGGCCUUCGGGUUGUAAAGUUCUUUCGGUGACGAGGCGUUAAUCACAGAAGAAGCACCGGCUAACUCCGUGCCAGCAGCCGCGGUAAUAC
rnacentral:rRNA from 1 species